rnacentral:lncRNA from 1 species
UUUUCUUUUUCGCCAUUGCAUAAAAAAAAUCUUUUUUUACCAUGGCAAUGUUUUUGCUUAUAAAGAUGAUUGCAUAUUUAGUAGAAUGUUUUCAUUUUUUAUCUAGCACGACAAAUUUAUUUUUAGAUCUUUUCAAUUUCUUUUCAGAGUAUGGCAAAAUAUGGCCUUUUUAUUCACAACCAAAAGCGGCCUUUCUUAGUCACAGUAGGUCUUAGGAAAACUGGGCUUUAUUUCUCUUUCAAACGCGAAAAAGGCCUGGGGCGAUGGUGUUCGGGCUGGGUUCUUCUCGUCCCGAACGACAUCGUUCGGUCGUUUGCCUCCCCUGUCACGAACGAGUUGUUCGGUCUGGGGCUCUCCCAGACCGAACAGUCGGGAGUUAUCGGGGUCCUUUUCAUUUGCAGAUUAAUCGGCAGCUUCAGACUCGGACACAGCUUGUGAUCCCGGUUCCUUUCAAUUUUUUUGGAAAAGAAGGUUAAACCCUCAGCCUCUGCAUCAAUCGAUGCAUGUAGCCAUCUUUAUUAAUUACUAGGAAAAUGGCCCGUGCGUUGCAACGGGAAUACAAUCAUCCCCUGAUUGAUAACUUUUUUGCCUUACCAGGGAUCUAUCCUAGCCCCGCAAUGAAGCCUGACUAUCACCACGAUGAUAGGGCAUGACAGUCUGUCUCGAGAAGGUCCUCGGAAUCGGAUAGACCUAAUGCGACCAUGGCCUCCUACUACACAUCUGCCCAACACGUGAGCGUGCGGUGGCAUGAGGCAGGUUUCCUUGCCAAGGCCCAGCUGCAUGAGCAUCUGAUCUAGGGCAUCCGCCCUUGCAGUGUUAGUCGAGGUCGGCGGCCGGCGUCAUUGCGUGUGCGUUGCUAUCGGAAAAAAAUGUGUCUAAAGUUUUUAUCUUGCAGACUAUAUCUAAAGGGGAGAUUCAAAAGAGAACGAUGUGGCUCACGUACCCAGGUCAUUGUAUCUGAAGUUUCUAUUUAUUCAGGAUGGCGUAGGAACACAUUCAAUAACGAAGUAUAAUCUAAUUAGUAGCAAGGCACUCGGUAUCAUCAGUUUGUGUUUUUCUCCAAGUAGCAUAGAAACACAUCCCAUAACCAUAAUAUAAUACUGGACGGAGGGAGUAUGUGGUAAUAGGCAAUUAGUUUGGUUACUAUCAAUUCUCUAUGUUGUUCUUACCUUAUACAACAUGAACAUUUUUUACGGCUUCAGUAGAUGAUGACCUUUUUUUAGAUAAUGAUACUUGGG